rnacentral:lncRNA from 1 species
GCCCGGGGGUUUCUCCCUUUCCCGGGGCUGAGGGGCCAGCCCAGGCAGGGACCCGGGAGAAGUCACGGCCACCCUCAGCCUGUCCCCAGCCCCUGUUUCAAGUUCUUGUCCCCAGUCCCAGUCCCAGUUCCCAGUCCCAGUCCCCAGUUCCAGUCCCCAGUCCCAGUCCCCAGUCCCAAUUCCCAGACCCUGUCCCCAGUCGCAGUUCCCAGUCCCAGUCCCAGUCCCCGGUCCCCAGUUCCAGUUCCCAGGCCCAAUUCCCAGACCCGGUCGCCAGUCCCAGUUCCCAGUCCCGGUCCCCAGUCCCAGUCCCGGUCCCCAGUCCCAGUCCCAAUUCCCAGUCCCCAGUCCCAGUUCCCAGUCCCGGUCCCCAGUCCCAGUCCCGGUCCCCAGUCCCAGUCCCAAUUCCCAGUCCCCAGUCCCAGUUCCCAGUCCCGGUCCCCAGUCCCAGUCCCGGUCCCCAGUCCCAGUCCCAAUUCCCAGUCCCCAGUCCCAGUUCCCAGUCCCGGUCCCCAGUCCCAGUCCCGGUCCCCAGUCCCAGUCCCAAUUCCCAGUCCCCAGUCCCAGUUCCCAGUCCCGGUCCCCAGUCCCAGUCCCGGUCCCCAGUCCCAGUCCCAAUUCCCAGUCCCCAGUCCCAGUUCCCAGUCCCGGUCCCCAGUCCCAGUCCCGGUCCCCAGUCCCAGUCCCAAUUCCCAGUCCCCAGUCCCAGUUCCCAGUCCCGGUCCCCAGUCCCAGUCCCGGUCCCCAGUCCCAGUCCCAAUUCCCAGUCCCCAGUCCCAGUUCCCAGUCCCGGUCCCCAGUCCCAGUCCCGGUCCCCAGUCCCAGUCCCAAUUCCCAGUCCCCAGUCCCAGUUCCCAGUCCCGGUCCCCAGUCCCAGUCCCGGUCCCCAGUCCCAGUCCCAAUUCCCAGUCCCCAGUCCCAGUUCCCAGUCCCGGUCCCCAGUCCCAGUCCCGGUCCCCAGUCCCAGUCCCAAUUCCCAGUCCCCAGUCCCAGUUCCCAGUCCCGGUCCCCAGUCCCAGUCCCCAGUCCCAGUCCCCGGUCCCCAGUUCCAGUUCCCAGGCCCAAUUCCCAGACCCGGUCGCCAGUCCCAGUUCCCAGUCCCGGUCCCCAGUCCCAGUCCCGCGGGGAGCGGCCCGGGGAGCUCGGCCGGGCAGGCCUCGGGAGGGGGCGGGAGGCAGCGCGAGUGGAUUUCUAGGCUGUGAAUGUGGAGCAAGGGCGGCUCCCGGCGCGCACGGAGCGGGGAUAACGCUGCUGCUGCUGGGGAAGGGGAGCCCAGCGUGGACCGGACGA